CUAAGUAUAAGCUAUCUAUACGGUGAAACUGCGAAUGGCUCAUUAAAUCAGUUAUCGUUUAUUUGAUAGUACCUUACUACUUGGAUACCUGUGGUAAUUCUAGAGCUAAUACAUGCUAAAAACCUCGACUCCGGAAGGGGUGUAUUUAUUAGAUAAAAAACCAAUGCCCUUCGGGGCUCCUUGGUGAUUCAUAAUAACUUAACGAAUCGCAUGGCCUUGCGCCGGCGAUGGUUCAUUCAAAUUUCUGCCCGGAGAGGGAGCCUGAGAAACGGCUACCACAUCCAAGGAAGGCAGCAGGCGCGCAAAUUACCCAAUCCCGACACGGGGAGGUAGUGACAAUAAAUACUGAUCCAGGGCUCUUUUGGGUCUUGUAAUUGGAAUGAGUACAAUUUAAAUCCCUUAACGAGGAACAAUUGGAGGGCAAGUCUGGUGCCAGCAGCCGCGGUAAUUCCAGCUCCAAUAGCGUAUAUUAAAGUUGUUGCAGUUAAAAAGCUCGUAGUUGAANCUUGGGUCUGGCUGACCGGUCCGCCUCACCGCGUGCACUGGNUNGGCCGGGCCUUUCCUUCUGGGGAACCGCAUGSCCUUCAUUGGUCGUGUUGGGGAUCCAGGACUUUUACUUUGAAAAAAUUAGAGUGUUCAAAGCAGGCCUAUGCUCGAAUACAUUAGCAUGGAAUAAUAGAAUAGGACGUGUGGUUCUGUUUUGUU
rnacentral:rRNA from 1 species